UACGUAGGGGGCGAGCGUUGUCCGGAUUUAUUGGGCGUAAAGCGCACGUAGGCGGUUUGGCAAGUCGGUUGUGAAAGCGCUCGGCUUAACUGAGCGAUGUCGGCCGAAACUACCGAACUGGAGGGCAGUAGAGGGAGAUGGAAUUCCCCGAGUAGUGGUGAUAUGCGUAGAGACGGGGAGGAACACCAGUGGCGAAGGCGGUCUCCUGGGCUGUCCCUGACGCUGAGGUGCGAAGGCGUGGGGAGCGAAC
rnacentral:rRNA from 1 species